rnacentral:misc_RNA from 1 species
GAUGAAGAACGUAGCGAAAUGCGAUACUUGGUGUGAAUUGCAGAAUCCCGUGAACCAUCGAGUCUUUGAACGCAAGUUGCGCCCGAAGCCAUUAGGCCGAGGGCACGCCUGCCUGGGCGUCACACGUCGUUGCCCCCCCAUCUACUCCUUCGGGAUUGCGGGGGGCGGAUGAUGGCCUCCCGUGCGCCUCGCCGCGCGGUUGGCAUAAAUGCCAAGUCCUCGGCGACGCACGCCACGACAAUCGGUGGUUGCGAAACCUCGGUUGCCCGUCGUGUGCGGUCGUCGCGCAUCGAGGGCUCGAAAAAAUUGCCGGGUUCCGGCUCGGCUUUCAACGCGACCCCAGGUCAGGCGGGGUUACCCGCUGAAUUUAAGCAUAUCAAUAAGGGAGGA